UACGUAGGGUGCGAGCGUUGUCCGGAUUUAUUGGGCGUAAAGAGCUUGUAGGCGGCUCGUCACGUCGGGUGUGAAAACUCGCGGCUCAACCGCGAGCCUGCACCCGAUACGGGCGAGCUAGAGUUCGGCAGGGGAGACUGGAAUUCCAGGUGUAGCGGUGAAAUGCGUAGAUAUCUGGAGGAAUACCGGUGGCGAAGGCGGCAUCCUGGACCGACAUUGACGCUGAAUACCGAAAGCUAGGGGAGCAAACGGG
rnacentral:rRNA from 1 species